AAUAAGGUGGCUGAACUAUAGGCGGUAGAUUGUAAAUUUAUUUAUGGAUAUUUUAUCCUCUUAUU
rnacentral:tRNA from 1 species